AUUGAACGCUGGCGGCAUGCUUUACACAUGCAAGUCGAACGGCAGCGCGGGCUUCGGCCUGGCGGCGAGUGGCGAACGGGUGAGUAAUGCAUCGGAACGUGCCCAGUAGUGGGAGAUAGCCCGGCGAAAGCCGGAUUAAUACCGCAUACGACCUGAGGGUGAAAGCGGGGGACCGAAAGGCCUCGCGCUAUUGGAGCGGCCGAUGUCGGAUUAGCUAGUUGGUGGGGCAAAGGCUUACCAAGGCGACGAUCCGUAGCUGGUCUGAGAGGACGACCAGCCACACUGGGACUGAGACACGGCCCAGACUCCUACGGGAGGCAGCAGUGGGGAAUUUUGGACAAUGGGGGCAACCCUGAUCCAGCCAUGCCGCGUGCGGGAAGAAGGCCUUCGGGUUGUAAACCGCUUUUGUUCGGGAAGAAAUCCUCUGGGCUAAUACCCCGGGGGGAUGACGGUACCGGAAGAAUAAGCACCGGCUAACUACGUG
rnacentral:rRNA from 1 species